rnacentral:rRNA from 1 species
GAGGAAUAAGCAUCGGCUAACUCCGUGCCAGCAGCCGCGGUAAUACGGGGGAUGCAAGCGUUAUCCGGAAUCAUUGGGCGUAAAGCGCCUGUAGGUGGUUUAAUAAGUCUGUUGUUAAAGACUAGGGCUUAACCCUAGGAAAGCAAUGGAAACUAAUAGACUAGAGUAUGGCAGGGGUAGAGGGAAUUUCUAGUGUAGCGGUGAAAUGCGUAGAUAUUAGAAAGAACACCAGUGGCGAAAGCGCUCUACUGGACCAUUACUGACACUCAGAGGCGAAAGCUAGGGUAGCAAAAGGGAUUAGAUACCCCUGUAGUCCUAGCCGUAAACGAUGGAUACUAGAUGUUGUGUUUUCUCACAGUGUCGCAGCUAACGCGUUAAGUAUCCCGCCUGGGGAGUACGCUCGCAAGGGUGAAACUCAAAGGAAUUGACGGGGGCCCGCACAAGCGGUGGAGCAUGUGGUUUAAUUCGAUGCAACGCGAAGAACCUUACCAGGGCUUGACAUACUGCAGAUCUUUUUGAGAAAGAAGAGUGCCUUCGGGAAUGCAGAUACAGGUGGUGCAUGGCUGUCGUCAGCUCGUGUCGUGAGAUGUUGGGUUAAGUCCCGCAACGAGCGCAACCCUUAUUUUUAGUUACCAACUUGUUGGGUUCUCUAGAAAGACUGCCGGUGACAAACCGGAGGAAGGUGAGGAUGACGUCAAGUCAGCAUGCCCCUUAUGUCCUGGGCUACACACGUGCUACAAUGGUUAAGACAAAGAGUCGCGAGUUCGUGAGAACCAGCUAAUCUCGUAAACUUAGCCUAAGUUCAGAUUGUAGGCUGCAACUCGCCUACAUGAAG